GGGGUUGUGGCUCAGUGAUAGAGUGCUUACCUCGCAUGCAUGAGGCACUGGGUUUGAUCCUCAGCACCACA
rnacentral:tRNA from 1 species